UACGUAGGGUGCGAGCGUUAAUCGGAAUUACUGGGCGUAAAGCGUGCGCAGGCGGUUGUGGAAGCCAGGUGUGAAAUCCCCGGGCUCAACCUGGGAAUGGCAUUUGGGACUGCAAGGCUGGAGUGCGGCAGAGGAGACUGGAAUUCCUGGUGUAGCAGUGAAAUGCGUAGAUAUCAGGAGGAACACCGAUGGCGAAGGCAGGUCUCUGGGCUGACACUGACGCUCAUGCACGAAAGCGUGGGGAGCAAACAGG
rnacentral:rRNA from 1 species